rnacentral:ncRNA from 1 species
CAAACAGGGGUGCUGAAAGGCUGAGAUUAUACCCGUUGAACCUGAUAUCGAUAAUGCGAGCGCAGGGAGUAAGUGAAUUC